GAUGAACGCUGGCGGCGUGCCUAAUACAUGCAAGUCGAGCGAACAGACGAGGAGCUUGCUCCUCUGACGUUAGCGGCGGACGGGUGAGUAACACGUGGAUAACCUACCUAUAAUACUGGUAUAACUUCGGGAAACCGGAGCUAAUACCGGAUAAUAUAUUGAACCGCAUGGUUCAAUAGUGAAAGACGGUUUUGCUGUCACUUAUAGAUGGAUCCGCGCCGCAUUAGCUAGUUGGUAAGGUAACGGCUUACCAAGGCAACGAUGCGUAGACGACCUGAGAGAGUGAUCGGCCACACUGGAACGGGGACACGCUCCAGACUCCUACGGGAGGCAGCAGUAGGGAAUCUUCCGCAAUGGGCGAAAGCUUGACGGAGCAACGCCGAGUGAGUGAUGACGGUCUUCGGAUCGUAAAACUCUGUUAUUAGGGAAGAACAAAUGUGUAAGUAACUAUGCACGUCUUGACGGUAACUAAUCAGAAAGCCACGGCUAACUACGUG
rnacentral:rRNA from 1 species